CCUACGGGUGGCAGCAGUGGGGGAUAUUGCACAAUGGGGGAACCCUGAUGCAGCGACGCCGCGUGGGUGAAGGAGCGUUUCGGCGCGUAAAGCCCUAUCGGCAGGGAAGAAGGAGGACGGUACCUGACUAAGAAGCCCCGUCUAAAUACGUGCCAGCAGCCGCGGUAAUACGUAGGGGGCAAGCGUUAUCCGGAUUUACUGGGUGUAAAGGGGGCGCAGACGGCAGCGAAAGCCAGGAGUGAAAGCACGGGGCCCAAACCCGGGACUGCUCUUGAGACUGCGCGGCUGGAGUGCAGGAGAGGCAGGCGGAAUACCUGAUGUAGCGGUGAAAUGCGUAGAUAUCAGGAGGAACACCGAUGGCGAAGGCAGCCUGCUGGACUGCGACUGACGUUGAGGCCCGAGAGCGUGGGGAGCGAACAGGAUUAGAUACCCGGGUAGUC
rnacentral:rRNA from 1 species